rnacentral:rRNA from 1 species
GAUGAACGCUGGCGGCGUGCCUAAUACAUGCAAGUCGAGCGAACAGAUGAGGAGCUUGCUCCUCUGACGUUAGCGGCGGACGGGUGAGUAACACGUGGAUAACCUACUUAUAAGACUGGGAUAACUUCGGGAAACCGGAGCUAAUACCGGAUAAUAUAUUGAACCGCAUGGUUCAAUAGUGAAAGACGGUUUUGCUGUCACUUAUAGAUGGAUCCGCGCCGCAUUAGCUAGUUGGUAAGGUAACGGCUUACCAAGGCAACGAUGCGUAGCCGACCUGAGAGGGUGAUCGGCCACACUGGAACUGAGACACGGUCCAGACUCCUACGGGAGGCAGCAGUAGGGAAUCUUCCGCAAUGGGCGAAAGCCUGACGGAGCAACGCCGCGUGAGUGAUGAAGGUCUUCGGAUCGUAAAACUCUGUUAUUAGGGAAGAACAAAUGUGUAAGUAACUAUGCACGUCUUGACGGUACCUAAUCAGAAAGCCACGGCUAACUACGUG